GAGUUUGAUCCUGGCUCAGAGCGAACGCUGGCGGCAGGCUUAACACAUGCAAGUCGAACGGGCGUAGCAAUACGUCAGUGGCAGACGGGUGAGUAACGCGUGGGAACGUACCUUUUGGUUCGGAACAACUGAGGGAAACUUCAGCUAAUACCGGAUAAGCCCUUACGGGGAAAGAUUUAUCGCCGAAAGAUCGGCCCGCGUCUGAUUAGCUAGUUGGUGAGGUAAGAGCUCACCAAGGCGACGAUCAGUAGCUGGUCCGAGAGGAUGAUCAGCCACAUUGGGACUGAGACACGGCCCAAACUCCUACGGGAGGCAGCAGUGGGGAAUAUUGGACAAUGGGCGCAAGCCUGAUCCAGCCAUGCCGCGUGAGUGAUGAAGGCCCUAGGGUUGUAAAGCUCUUUUGUGCGGGAAGAUAAUGACGGUACCGCAAGAAUAAGCCCCGGCUAACUUCGUGCCAGCAGCCGCGGUAAUACGAAGGGGGCUAGCGUUGCUCGGAAUCACUGGGCGUAAAGGGUGCGUAGGCGGGUCUUUAAGUCAGGGGUGAAAUCCUGGAGCUCAACUCCAGAACUGCCUUUGAUACUGAGGAUCUUGAGUUCGGGAGAGGUGAGUGGAACUGCGAGUGUAGAGGUGAAAUUCGUAGAUAUUCGCAAGAACACCAGUGGCGAAGGCGGCUCACUGGCCCGAUACUGACGCUGAGGCACGAAAGCGUGGGGAGCAAACAGGAUUAGAUACCCUGGUAGUCCACGCCGUAAACGAUGAAUGCCAGCCGUUGGGGAGUUUACUCUUCAGUGGCGCAGCUAACGCUUUAAGCAUUCCGCCUGGGGAGUACGGUCGCAAGAUUAAAACUCAAGGGAAUUGACGGGGGCCCGCACAAGCGGUGGAGCAUGUGGUUUAAUUCGACGCAACGCGCAGAACCUUACCAGCCCUUGACAUGUCUAUGACCGGUACCAGAGAUGGAACCUUCCCUUCGGGGCAUAGAGCACAGGUGCUGCAUGGCUGUCGUCAGCUCGUGUCGUGAGAUGUUGGGUUAAGUCCCGCAACGAGCGCAACCCCCGUCCUUAGUUGCUACCAUUUAGUUGAGCACUCUAAGGAGACUGCCGGUGAUAAGCCGCGAGGAAGGUGGGGAUGACGUUAAGUCCUCAUGGCCCUUACGGGCUGGGCUACACACGUGCUACAAUGGCGGUGACAAUGGGACGCGAUGGAGCAAUCCUGAGCAAAUCUCAAAAAGCCGUCUCAGUUCGGAUUGUGCUCUGCAACUCGAGCACAUGAAGUUGGAAUCGCUAGUAAUCGCAGAUCAGCACGCUGCGGUGAAUACGUUCCCGGGCCUUGUACACACCGCCCGUCACACCAUGGGAGUUGGUUUUACCUGAAGACGGUGCGCUAACCGCAAGGAGGCAGCCGGCCACGGUAGGGUCAGCGACUGGGGUGAAGUCGUAACAAGGU
rnacentral:rRNA from 1 species